CUGGACCCACUGAAUUCUGACAGUUCUGACAGACUGGAACAAGCUACACCAUGAAGAUCUUCUUGCUUUUCCUCACCACCAUGAUGGUUACUGCAGCACCUCAUGCACCUUCAUCAGAUGGACAUAAACUUAAGCGUUUGAUUUUAGAAGAAAUCAUUCAAAGUAUAAAGGACGUGAAAGACAGCCUAACAGCAGAGAUUUUUGUCCAAAAAGUUAUAACAACUGAACACUGCACUCAUAAGAACCUCUGCAAAGCACACAAAAUCCUGUCGGUGUAUAAAGCAGAGGAUCUCGGACUAAAGGAAAAAGACUGGCUACUGCCCAGGCAACUUGAAGCCUACAUUAAGGACAUAAACUGCAAGGACCCAGCAUCAGAGGAUCAAAUUACCCUUCUCCAACUUCUGGAUAGCAUAUACCAUUGUGCUAAGAAGGAGUACUCAAAACCUUUUGAUGUAUCUACCAGAUCAUCUCUCAAUUAGAGAAACUAAUUAUACUUGUAUGUUCAGUUAAUCAUAAAUUGUUGUUUUUUUAACCUUAAAGUAUUUCAAUGAAGGCACAGUACAUAUUACAUUGGCAUUUUACAUAUUGCUUAUAAUGUUGUGUUAAAUCUUUUUGUUCUUUUUUCAUAAAUUUACAGCUUUCUCAUGUGGUAUUUAAUUAGUCA
ensembl:lncRNA